rnacentral:rRNA from 1 species
AAUGAACGCUGGCGGCAUGCCUUACACAUGCAAGUCGAACGGCAGCAUGACCUAGCUUGCUAGGUUGAUGGCGAGUGGCGAACGGGUGAGUAAUGCAUCGGAACGUGCCUUUUAGUGGGGGAUAACGUAGCGAAAGUCACGCUAAUACCGCAUAUUCUCUGAGGAGGAAAGCAGGGGACCUUCGGGCCUUGCGCUAGAAGAGCGGCCGAUGUCGGAUUAGCUAGUUGGUGAGGUAAAGGCUCACCAAGGCAACGAUCCGUAGCGGGUCUGAGAGGAUGAUCCGCCACACUGGGACUGAGACACGGCCCAGACUCCUACGGGAGGCAGCAGUGGGGAAUUUUGGACAAUGGGCGCAAGCCUGAUCCAGCCAUGCCGCGUGAGUGAAGAAGGCCUUCGGGUUGUAAAGCUCUUUCGGCUGGGAAGAAAUCGCACCCUCUAAUACAGGGUGUGGAUGACGGUACCAGCAGAAGAAGCACCGGCUAACUACGUG